rnacentral:misc_RNA from 1 species
GAUGAAGAACGUAGCGAAAUGCGAUAAGUAAUGUGAAUUGCAGAAUUCAGUGAAUCAUCGAAUCUUUGAACGCACAUUGCGCCCGCCAGUAUUCUGGCGGGCAUGCCUGUCUGAGCGUCAUUUCAACCCUCAAGCAACUUCUGCUUGGUGUUGGGGAUCGGCCGUUAAACGCCGCCCCCGAAAUCUAUUGGCGAUCUCGCUGUAGCUUCCUAUGCGUAGUAGUAACAUCUCGCAUCUGGAGAGCGGCGCGGUCAUGCCGUAAAACACCUAACUUCUCAGGUUGACCUCAGAUCAGGUAGGAAUACCCGCUGAACUUAAGCAUAUCAAUAAGCGGAGGA